rnacentral:rRNA from 1 species
ACACGUAAGGGGCAAGCGUUGUCCGGAAUUACUGGGCGUAAAGGGUGCGCAGGCGGUCUGGCAAGUCAGAGGUGAAAUCCACUAGCUUAACUAGUGAAGGGCCUUUGAAACUGUUAGACUUGAGAGCAGAAGAGGAAGAUGGAAUUCCUGGUGUAGUGGUGAAAUACGUAGAUAUCAGGAAGAAUACCAAUGGUGAAGACAGUCUUCUGGUCUGACUCUGACGCUGAGGCACGAAAGCUAGGGUAUCAAACGGGAUUAGAUACCCCGGUAGUCCUAGCUGUAAACGCUGGAUACUAGGUGUUGGGGGUUCAACUCCCUCCGCGCCGCAGUUAACGCUUUAAGUAUCCCGCCUGGGGAUUACGACCGCAAGGUUGAA